GCGCCGGUGGUGUAAAGGCGUAGAGCAUUCCCUUCCGAUCAGAGGGAGGUGCGGGUUCCAGUCCCGCUUGGCGCU
rfam:Heligmosomoides polygyrus genome assembly, scaffold: HPBE_scaffold0002269